GGGACCAGGGAUUUAAAUUGCGGUCUCGGUCGCGUUUUCGGUCGCAUUGCGUUUAUCGCGGUUGCGGACAUAACGGAUGCUAUUGCGGUCAUUGCAGGUAUCGCGGUCGUGAAUUUUACAUUACUUAUUGUGUAUUGCGGGUAUAGCGGGUUUCGGCAGUAGCGGUUUCGGACGGUGCCGUUACCGCUAUAUAACGGCCGCUAUUUCGGUAACGGACCGCUAUUUAAAUCCCUGC
rnacentral:lncRNA from 1 species